GCACAGGGAGGCUGCUCCUCUCAGCAUGGGGGCUGUGGACAAGGCCCCCUCCCCAAGAGUUGUGUUACCAGCCCUGAGGGGCUUCUAAUGAGUUCCACAUGCAAGUGAGGGCCUCUGAGAGGAAAUGGGAAGGGGCUGAGGAGGGGGAGAGGGGCCUGAGAGGGGAUUGGAACCAUGUGUUUGGAGGAGGAGGACAGGGAGGGAGAGUGGAGGCCAGAGGAGGGAAGACUAUCCUCACAAGUCCUGCUGCCCUCCCCGCACAAGGCAGAAAAAGCCCCAAAUCCCUGACCCUCUGGACUGGGGUUCUGAGCCAUUAAAAGCAGGAUAGAACCAGGGCUUGGCUGACUCUGGCUGCUAUGCUGAGAACAGAUGGAGUGGGCCAAUGGCAGAAGCAGGCCAGGCAGGAAAGGAGCAAGCCUCAUCGCAGCAGGUCUGGCUGCUCAGGGGUGCCUGCUCCAAGUG
ensembl:lncRNA